UUCUGAAAUGCAAUAAAGACAAGGCAAAAUGUUAUCUUUGAGCUACAACACUGGGCUUCCAGUGGUCACUGGGAGUGGACACACAUCCAAUGCCAAACAGGCUGAUAACAGACAGGAAGCUUCAUUAUAAUCAGAAAUGGCCUUCACUGCAGGAUUUUGAAGCUGUCCUGGCACCAAUUUGCACUGACAUCAGCUCACAGCAGGCGUAACAUGAAAUUUAUCAUCAUGGAAAUAUGACCCUUGGCUGAUUCUUGUAAAAAAAAAAAAGAAGAAGAAGAAAGAAAAAAAGAUCUUCCAUAAAGGCAAUUUCUGGUUCCCUCCACCCUACUUGGCCCUUUCUGGUACCACAUGCCAAAUGGAUAAGGAGAUGGCACAGCUACUGGCGGACAUGGUAGAAGCACUGAUAUUGUCUCAGACACGGGCAACUCUAUCUGUAUGGUGGAAAAGUCAUAUUAUGAGGACCUAGAAGGUAUAUCACCUUCUUUGGUCUGUAAUAAUUCAUUGGAUUAGCCUGAGAAUGAGAAAACCAUAUGAACAAGAAGCAGCCAUCAGAGAUGCAGGCAUCCACUCAAGCACAGGGCUAUUGAAUCAUCAUUUAGACUCCAAGCAGACGCCAGGGAAAACCCGGUUUCUAAUUAAUCUAAGAGUUGGCACUAUGAGGGAAAUUAAUGAAAAGAAUUCUGGCUUUGGAGACAGGGUGCUGCCUGAGCUGCUUCUGGGCAGGGCUGUGCAACCUUGGAAGAGUGUGGCAUCCUUCGUGGAAGCAGACCCCGGAUGCUAAGCCUGAGUGUCUCUUCUGUCACCAUCUCCCUUUCCGUGAUACAUUGAGCCAGCCAACUCUUGCACCACAAUCUACUGUAAUAGUCACAGACCCAAAGCAACAGAGAAAAGUCACCAUGAACUACAGCUUCUGAAAUCAUGGGGCAGGAUAAACUUUAUCUCGGACUGGAGUUGUGAGAAGAAUUCUGCAAGCUGGGGGCCCUAAGGACUGCUAUACGCAAACCACCCAAACCAGUUCUGAUCAUUGGAAGUGAGUCUCCUGAUCAAGCCCCCCUCUUGGGGAUAGGAUUUGUCCAGAGCUUGAUGCCAAUAGGACUCAGAGCUGCAUCAUGCAAGGACUGACAACUUUUGAACCCCCUUUCUGUUUUCUGCAAGGCCAGUCCACAUAAUAUUUGAUAUUCAUUCCUUAGAAGGUCCAGUGAGUCUUAUAUGUCAGCAGUUGCUAAAUGUAUAGGUCUCCUAGGAAUGAAAGAACUCCUAGUACUGGUUGGAGCAUGGCUUUAUAACUGCAAAAAUGAACAACAACAGUCUAGAAGACUUGGAAACAGAGCACUUCAGGACACUUUGGACAAUAGGGAGUUCUUUUCAGGCUUCCUACUGCAAACCCCUUUAAAUGACUUCUGCUACAAGAAAGAGGGAAUCAAGGACAAAGUGUCCCUUAAUUUAACAAUAUGCAUUUACAGAGACUGUUCUUUAAUUUCCUCGGUUUCAAC
rnacentral:lncRNA from 1 species